GAUUGCAGGCUGCAACCCGCCUGUAUGAAGUUGGAAUCGCUAGUAAUCGCGGAUCAGCAUGCCGCGGUGAAUACGUUCCCGGGCCUUGUACACACCGCCCGUCACACCAUGAGAGUCGGGAACACCCGAAGUCCGUAGCCUAACCGCAAGGGGGGCGCGGCCGAAGGUGGGUUCGAUAAUUGGGGUGAAGUCGUAACAAGGUACC
rnacentral:rRNA from 1 species